GAUGAACGCUGGCGGCGUGCCUAAUACAUGCAAGUCGAGCGAACAGACGAGGAGCUUGCUCCUCUGACGUUAGCGGCGGACGGGUGAGUAACACGUGGAUAACCUACCUAUAAGACUGGGAUAACUUCGGGAAACCGGAGCCAAUACCGGAUAAUAUAUUGAACCGCAUGGUUCAAUAGUGAAAGACGGUUUUGCUGUCACUUAUAGAUGGAUCCGCGCCGCAUUAGCUAGUUGGUAAGGUAACGGCUUACCAAGGCGACGAUGCGUAGCCGACCUGAGAGGGUGAUCGGCCACACUGGAACUGAGACACGGUCCAGACUCCUACGGGAGGCAGCAGUAGGGAAUCUUCCGCAAUGGGCGAAAGCCUGACGGAGCAACGCCGCGUGAGUGAUGAAGGUCUUCGGAUCGUAAAACUCUGUUAUUAGGGAAGAACAAAUGUGUAAGUAACUAUGCACGUCUUGACGGUACCCAAUCAGAAAGCCACGGCUAACUACGUGC
rnacentral:rRNA from 1 species